UGAAAAGAAAAUUGGAGAGAGAGUCAAAGAGACCGAGAAACACUUGGGAGGGAAACGAACGUGGCCGUGAAGGCUCCUUUCGGGUUCAGGGAGCCCUGGACUGGGCGUUUGCGAAGUGUGAGACUCGAACCGGGCUCCACUGCCGCAAGCCCUUCCGGGCUUCCGCAUUCCCGUCUGGAGCCCGCCAACGGCGGGCGUUCGCGGUCGAAGAGGGCUGGGGGGAGGUGCCUCCUUGCCGUUCUCGGCGAGGAGAACGUACAGCCUCCGGUCCGGCGUGACCGCGAACGGCCGAGGAGAGUUGCGACCUGUCGCACGGCGUAGCGCAGGCUCCGCAGGGGCCGGGUCGCUCCUGUACUUGCGUGCUCCGAGCCGAGCCACUGCCAGCAGUGACCGGCGACGGCUAGCGCACUUGUGCGGGAGACGGACCACGAUUGCGCUUCGGUCGUGAGCGUGCGUACGGCUCCGUCCGACCCGUCUGAAAACACGGA
rnacentral:rRNA from 1 species